rnacentral:rRNA from 1 species
UACGAAGGGGGCUAGCGUUGUUCGGAAUUACUGGGCGUAAAGCGCACGUAGGCGGAUAUUUAAGUCAGGGGUGAAAUCCCGGGGCUCAACCCCGGAACUGCCUUUGAUACUGGGUAUCUCGAGUCCGAGAGAGGUGAGUGGAAUUCCGAGUGUAGAGGUGAAAUUCGUAGAUAUUCGGAGGAACACCAGUGGCGAAGGCGACUACCUGGCCUGUUCUUGACGCUGAGGCGCGAAAGCUAGGGGAGCAAACGGG